UGAUAUUGUUUAGUGUUGAACAGCUAAGUAUGCCGUUUAGAGUUGAAUUGUACUGAUAUUUGCAAUAUCCUUUGAAAUACAAAAAUAAUAAGAUGAUGGAUGGGUCCCCUCUGAUAAUCCCUGUUACGCCUUCAAUCUGUGGCCCACAUUUUCACAACUCUGUUCUUUGGACCUCCAUGUUUAGGGAUGGUAACAGUUUUCAAACAUUUCGAGACUCUCUAUGCCACCAUACAUAUUGUUGUAUUUUACUUCAAAAUUUUCCCACACUUCUACAAAUAGCCCUGUAUUGGAAUAACACACAAAUUCUAGUUGCGUGUUUCAUGUUUCCUGGCAGCGCCCUGACUGAGAAAGUCAUUGGUAGGUACCAGGGAGUACUCCAGGAAACGUACCCUGCAGAUGGGAUUUUCCGAUUGGAUUGUGACAAAUCGGUGACACAUAAUGCCCUCCUUGCUCAUGAUAAAGGGCACAGACAGUCUAUCCAUUCUUCAUCCUUGUGCAGUGUGCUGGAGGACCAGUGGAUGGCAAGUGAAGGGGAGAUCAACUCGCUCCAGCUCUUCAUCCCUGAGGCAGCCAUGUUGCUGUUACUGGGACUCAGGCAGAGUGCUGACUGCUCUCAAACCCUGUUGUCUUCAUCCAGAUUACACAAGCUCUCACUGUGAUUCUGCAGUUCAUAAUCAGGUAAUAUGACUCUCUAAUUUAGAUCCACUAUUUAUUAUUAUGAAAGAUGAUACUAAUGGGAUUGUUUUUCAUGUGUAAAUGUUGUGGAGACAGAAAAAAACCAGCCAUUUGGUUACAACCCAUAGUGACAUAAGUUAUGCUUCAGUCACCCAGACUGUGAGCUGUUUAUGCAAGGAUAAAAAUUGUUCAUAAUUCUGUGGGAGAUAUGCUGCCAUACAAUGUGUUUAGGUAUAUAUGUAUAGUGUUUAGGUUUCAAUUCUAAAACAAUGAUACUGCUAGUCUUGUAGAGUUGAGUGGACAGAAAAUGGCAAGAGUUAGUAAGCUUUGUUAAGAGGCUUAAAAGUUACUCCUCAGGCAAGGGAAACAAAUGAAAAAAUACACAAAUGGGACUUCAUCGACUAAAGAUCUUCUGCACGGAAAAGGAAACCAUCAACAAAACAAAAACACAACCCACCAACUGGGAGAAAAUAUUUGCAAAUCAUAUAUCUGAUAAGGGGUUAACGUCCAAAAUAUAUAAAGAACUCAUACAACUCAACAACAGAAAAACAAACCUGGUCAAAAAAUGGGUGGAGGAUAUGAACAGAUAUUUUUCCAAAUAGUUAACAGGCACAUGAAAAGAUGUUCAACACUACUAAUUAUUAAGGAAAUGAAAAUCAAAACAACAAUGAGAUAUCACCUUAUCCGCAUCAGAAUGGCUAUAAUUAACAAGCCAAGAAAAAAAAAAUGUUGGAGGGGAUGUGGAGAAAAUGGAACCCUCACACAUUGCUGGUGGGAAUGAAAACUGCUGCAGUCACUGUGGAAAAAACCGUAUGGAGAUUGCUCAAAAAAAGUAAAAACAGAAAUAUCACACAACCCAGCUACCCCACUGCUGAGUAUGUAUCCAAAGAACUUGAAAUAAACAAUUCAAAGAGAUUUAUGCA
rnacentral:lncRNA from 1 species